rnacentral:misc_RNA from 1 species
UUUCCGUAGGUGAACCUGCGGAAGGAUCAUUAUUGAAUAAACCUGAUGUGGUCGUAGCUGGCCCUUUCGGGAGCAUGUGCACACCCGUCGUCUUUAUCUUUCCACCUGUGCACCUUUUGUAGACCUGGAUGUAACACUUUCCGAGGCAACUCGGUCGGGAGGAAUGCUGUCAGCUUUCCUUGAAUGUCCAGGCCUAUGUUUUCAUAUACCCCAAAGAAUGUAACAGAAUGUAUUAUUGGGCCUUGUGCCUACAAACUAUAUACAACUUUCAGCAACGGAUCUCUUGGCUCUC